CCAUGGUCCCAGCUUCCGUACAGGUUUGUUGACUUCCAUUCAAGUCUCAGGUCCUUGGCUCAGGAGCUCCGCUCCCGUACAGCGCGUCCGGGCGUGAGAACAGAAGCCAAGAUGGAGUGCUGGGCGUGGAAUCCAUGUUCCCAAACUGUCUGGAAUCGCUCGUGACUGGUCUGGCCACAGCUCCUGCGGGUCGGGAGGGGCUGAAGUAGGACCCCGCCACCCUAGACCUUGAAAAUGGACUUGCAUUUCCUUCGAGCCUUCAAAGAACUCGCUCUCCUGAUGCCGCUGAAAGUACCAGCCUGGUUGCAGAAAGCCCCACGUGGAACCUCGCCUCCGAUGGACCCGGCCGCCGUGCCCAGGGAAAGGUGCUUUCCAGAGAGGUUAUUCCUCCCUAGUGAGCUCUCAUGCUCAUGUUUUUGUUCCUAGCACCACCACCAUUUCAUUAAACUUUACUUAAAAAAAAAAAAAAACGCACCCACAGCUCAGAGUUUCGUUUUUAUUUUAUUUAUUUAUUUAUUUUUUUGAGGAAGAUUAGCCCUGAGCUAACUGCUGCCAAUCCUCCUCUUUUUGCUGAGGAAGACUGGCCCUGAGCUAACAUCCGUGCCCGUCUUCCUCUACUUUAUAUGUGGGAUGCCUACCACA
rnacentral:lncRNA from 1 species